rnacentral:rRNA from 1 species
GAUGAACGCUGGCGGCGUGGAUAAGGCAUGCAAGUCGAGCGGAAACACUUCGGGUGUCGAGCGGCGGACGGGUGAGUAACGCGUAGGUACAUACCCCAAACUGAGGGAUAAGCACUGGAAACGGUGUCUAAUACCGCAUAUGGUCUUCGGAUUAAAGCUUUUAGCGGUUUGGGAAUGGCCUGCGUAGGAUUAGCUAGUUGGUAAGGUAAAGGCUUACCAAGGCGACGAUCCUUAGCUGGUUUGAGAGGAUGAUCAGCCACAUUGGAACUGAGACACUGUCCAAACGCCUACGGGCGGCUGCAGUCGAGAAUCUUCCACAAUGGGCGCAAGCCUGAUGGAGCAACGCCGCGUGCAGGAUUAAGGCCUUCGGGUUGUAAACUGCUUUUAUAAGUGAAGAAUAUGACGGUAACUUAUGAAUAAGGGACUGCUAACUACG